UAGGUAACGGCUUACCAAGCCGUCGAUCGGUACGGGUUGUGAGAGCAAGAGCCCGGAGAUGGAACCUGAGACAAGGUUCCAGGCCCUACGGGGUGCAGCAGGCGCGAAACCUCCGCAAUGUGAGAAAUCGCGACGGGGGGAUCCCAAGUGCCAUUCUUAACGGGAUGGCUUUUCAUUAGUGUAAAGAGCUUUUGGAAUAAGGGCUGGGCAAGACCGGUGCCAGCCGCCGCGGUAACACCGGCAGCUCUAGUGGUAGCAGUUUUUAUUGGGCCUAAAGCGUCCGUAGCCGGUUUAAUAAGUCUCUGGUGAAAUCCUGUAGCUUAACUGUGGGAAUUGCUGGAGAUACUAUUAGACUUGAGACCGGGAGAGGUUAGAGGUACUCCCAGGGUAGAGGUGAAAUUCUGUAAUCCUGGGAGGACCGCCUGUUGCGAAGGCGUCUAACUGGAACGGUUCUGACGGUGAGGGACGAAAGUUAGGGGCGCGAACCGGAUUAGAUACCCGGGUAGUCCUAACUGUAAACGAUGCGGACUUGGUGUUGGGGCGGCUUUGAGCUGCUCCAGUGCCGAAGGGAAGCUGUUAAGUCCGCCGCCUGGGAAGUACGGUCGCAAGACUGAAACUUAA
rnacentral:rRNA from 1 species